UACGUAGGGUGCAAGCGUUGUCCGGAAUUAUUGGGCGUAAAGAGCUCGUAGGCGGUUCGUCACGUCGGCUGUGAAAUCCCGAGGCUCAACCUCGGGUCUGCAGUCGAUACGGGCGGACUGGAGUACUGCAGGGGAGACUGGAAUUCCUGGUGUAGCGGUGAAAUGCGCAGAUAUCAGGAGGAACACCGGUGGCGAAGGCGGCUUGCUGGGCCAGUUCUGACGCUGAGGAGCGAAAGCGUGGGGAGCGAACAGG
rnacentral:rRNA from 1 species